rnacentral:lncRNA from 1 species
GAACUCCGCGGCGGCCGCGCGUCGCUCCCGCUGUUCCUCCCGCUGCCGCGGCCUCUGUGGGCCUCCUUCACCCCAGUGGGAAGAGAGUUGUUAUUGCCCGCCGUUACCAUAGCAACUGCAGCCACGCGCUGGGAGCCGAGUCUGCGAACUAGGCCUGGCGCGCUCCUGGAUCCCCUUGGGCUUUGCCUGCUGCCUCCAGCGGAGACUGGAGAAUGUGUGUAAAAUACAACGUGGAAGAGAGAUGAAGAAAAGGCAUUCUGGUGCAGCGAGCAGUCACCUUGAUGGUGGCUCCCUGGACCCUGCAGACUCUGACAUAGCAUCCAUGAUGCUGGUACCUGGCAAGAGACAGCAUCAUCCCACAGAGAGAUGAAUGUGGUCAGCUCCAAAUAUUACAAGACAGCAACUGGCCAGACUCGGUAGAAUACAAUGGAGCAUAGAGAAAUAAUCCUGCCUGGUGUUUAGUCUUGAGGCCACUUGCCUCACCACCUGAGACGGGCACUGUCAGUGCUCAGCCCAGAUCCUCUGGGAUCCCUGUGACCUGUGUGUCCCACCUCGGGCUUCUAUGUGCCACACCUGUGACUCCACUUCACAGGCUGCUUUCAGGCUAUGGGAGUGGCAUCACCUGAACUAGCAGAGAGUGCCUGAGAGUUUACCUUUUCUGCCUCCACCUGCUACCAUAGUCCCUUACCCUGUGUGACCCAGCAGUGCAAGAGUGUGAAAGCCCACCUCCCUGGCUUUAGAUGGGGUUAAGUCUAAGGCAUAAAGUAUGCUUCAGAGCGCCCCUGUGGAAUCCAGUUCGAGCCACCUGCAGUGGGAUAUUGCUUGAAAUCACAUCCUUACCUGGCUUCUUACCAAUUAUUUUUAAUGCACUUCCAUAAUAAUGUCACUAUGUACAUACCUGUGACCCUACCCAUUCCAACUCUGUAACCUCCAGUCCUAGACCUUAGCUGCCUAGGUAGUAUUCAUUCAUUCAUUCAUUAUCGAAUACUAGCUCAAAAUCUACUCUAGGUAAAGCACUAUUUCUCAUUUAUGGAGUAUAGCAAAUAUUCUGCCCUUUCUCCACCUCCUGUACCCUAAUUUUCUCUUCUUAAAAGCAUGCCAGUCACAUUGGAUUAGAACUUACCCUAAUGACAAUUACCUCUUUAAAGACCUGUCUCCAGGAGUUCCCAUCGUGGAUUAAUGGUUAACAAACCCAAUUAGUAUCCAUGAGGAUGCGAGUUCAAUCCCUGGCAUCACUCAGGGGGCUAAGGAUCUGGCGUUGCUGUGGCUUUGGGGCAGUGGCAACAGCUCCCUAGCUUUGGAACCUCCAUAUGCCAGGUGGGGGCGGGGCGGGCCCUAAAA